UACGUAGGGGGCAAGCGUUGUCCGGAUUUAUUGGGCGUAAAGAGCGUGUAGGCGGCCAGACAGGUCAGCUGUGAAAACUCGAGGCUCAACCUCGAGACGUCGGUUGAAACCGUCUGGCUAGAGUCCGGAAGAGGAGAGUGGAAUUCCCGGUGUAGCGGUGAAAUGCGCAGAUAUCGGGAAGAACACCCGUGGCGAGGGCGGCUCUCUGGGACGGUACUGACGCUGAGACGCGAAAGCGUGGGGAGCGAACAGG
rnacentral:rRNA from 1 species